UUUCCUUUAAAAAAGAAAACAAAAUAUCUAUAAACUAAGAUAAAUACAAACGAAGAAACCUGCAAAUAUAUGUUACAGCAUGGUCGGCCCUCUUGCGUGACCUACAUUCAACAAACAUCGACUGCUUUUUUUUCUCACCUUCAGCCAACGAAUCAAUGACCUCAAAAUCGAUGAAAACUUAAUUGCAUCGGUCAGUUAAUUUCACAAAAUCAUCAAAGAGUUUCACUCUUGCUAGUUUAACCAAUUUUCAAUUAGAAAUAAAGGACGUAACAAUACGUUUUAUGUAAUAAACUCGUAACCCCAAAUGGGGAAAACAGCACUCAUAUGGAACUGGAAAAAACAUGGCCUAGAAACGUCUUAUCUAACUUGGGGGCGGGGUUGACUCAUAUUUCGCUAGUAUGGCCAAACAAACAACUGAAAGAGCUCGAUUGCUUCUUUCUGUGAGCAAGAAAGAAAAAAAUGAAACUAAUGCACAUCUUCUUUCAAGAGUGGUAGAGAAACAAGCCAUCAUUCGACUGUAACAGAAACCUGACUCGAAAGGCUACCAAUUAUGCAGGAUAGGCCGACUACGAACUGUCAGCCUGGGUACAGCAAAAUGCUGCGUUGCCUUGUCAACUUGAUCUUGUUGCUAAGGGAAACUGACUUCCAUUUGAUUAGGGCGAUGCAGCCUCUUGCGUCUCCUCUUUCGGUCAGUUCUCCAAACAAUGACAAAAUGCUAAACUCAGCUAUCUAAAAGGACGCUCAAUAUACUCAUAUCUAUAAAGCGUAACCUUUUGCUUAUUUUUACAUCAUUUUUCUGUAAG